ACGCACGCUGGCGGCAUGCCUAACACAUGCAAGUCGAACGAAGUCUUCGGACUUAGUGGCGCACGGGUGCGUAACGCGUGGGAAUCUGCCCUUGGGUACGGAAUAACUCAGAGAAAUUUGUGCUAAUACCGUAUAAUGUCUUCGGACCAAAGAUUUAUCGCCCAAGGAUGAGCCCGCGUAAGAUUAGCUAGUUGGUGGGGUAAAAGCCUACCAAGGCGACGAUCUUUAGCUGGUCUGAGAGGAUGAUCAGCCACACUGGGACUGAGACACGGCCCAGACUCCUACGGGAGGCAGCAGUGGGGAAUAUUGGACAAUGGGCGAAAGCCUGAUCCAGCAAUGCCGCGUGAGUGAUGAAGGCCCUAGGGUUGUAAAGCUCUUUUACCAGGGAUGAUAAUGACAGUACCUGGAGAAUAAGCUCCGGCUAACUCCGUG
rnacentral:rRNA from 1 species